rnacentral:rRNA from 1 species
ACCAGAGCCACAUCGCCCUGCAGUUCUCACCUGGUUUCCCACUGAUGAUAAGCAGGGUUGAAUCUGGUCAGUACCUGGAUGGGAGACCUGGAGAAAACUAAGGUUGCUGCUGGAA